rnacentral:lncRNA from 11 species
CUUACAGUAACGGCUGCCUGAUCGCUCCUCCCCCUUGUUCUGCUUAGCUUUUGCAAGCAAGGCCUGCAAAUGGCCGCACAGCAACCCUGCAAGGCAGACCACUCACCAACCCUGUAAGCCCAGCCAGGCCACGACCAAGGUGCCAGCUGCAGAAGAAACUGAAAAACGAACGGAUGAUGGAGCAGAUAGUGAAGAACACCAUUGAAAUC